CUGCCAGCCGCCGCGGUAAUACGGAGGGUGCAAGCGUUAUCCGGAUUCAUUGGGUUUAAAGGGUGCGCAGGCGGAUACUUAAGUCAGUGGUGAAAUCCCGGGGCUCAACCCCGGAACUGCCAUUGAUACUGAAUAUCUGGAAUACGGUUGAAGUGGGCGGAAUGUAGCAUGUAGCGGUGAAAUGCAUAGAGAUGCUACAGAACACCGAUCGCGAAGGCAGCUCACUAAGCCGAUAUUGACGCUCAGGCACGAAAGCGUGGGAGCGAACAGGAUUAGAUACCCUGGUAGUCCACGCCGUAAACGAUGAUAACUCGUUGUUGGCGACACACAGUCAGCGACUAAGCGAAAGCGAUAAGUUAUCCACCUGGGGAGUACGAUCGCAAGGUUGAAACUCAAAGGAAUUGGCGG
rnacentral:rRNA from 1 species